UUGGAGGGCAAGUCUGGUGCCAGCAGCCGCGGUAAUUCCAGCUCCAAUAGCGUAUAUUAAAGUUGCUGCAGUUAAAAAGCUCGUAGUUGAAUUUCGGGACCAAUAUAUCGGUCGUGCUUUUGUACGUACUGGUAUAAUUGGUUUCUCCCUUCUGAAGAACCUUGAUGUCAUUAAUUUGGUGUCUUGGGGAAUCAGGACUGUUACUUUGAAAAAAUUAGAGUGUUUAAAGCAGGCUCGCGCUUGAAUACAUUAGCAUGGAAUAAUGAAAUAGGACGUUUGAUUCUAUUUUGUUGGUUUCUAGGAUCGACGUAAUGAUUAAUAGGGAUAGUUGGGGGCAUUAGUAUUCAAUUGUCAGAGGUGAAAUUCUUGGAUUUAUUGAAGACUAACUACUGCGAAAGCAUUUGCCAAGGAUGUUUUCAUUAAUCAAGAACGAAAGUUAGGGGAUCGAAGACGAUCAGAUACCGUCGUAGUCUUAACCAUAAACUAUGCCGACUAGGGAUCGGAUGAUGUUAAUUUUUUAAUGACUCAUUCGGCGCCUUACGGGAAAC
rnacentral:rRNA from 1 species